UAUUGCAUUGUUUUUCAUAUUAUUAUCUUUUAUGGUUUGUAAACAUGUUCUCAUUGAAUGGCUUUGCAGAUGAAGGGGAGUAAAGCAAAAGCUUCUAAUUCCCAAAGUCAGCUUCCAGACUAUGAGUUACAAAGGCUCAGAAAAUUGAAGCAUAAUGCUGAAAGAAUGUCAGCCCAAGGAUCGGGAUCCUUGGCGAAUAAGAUACUGCAACAAAAAAACACGCGACAUACUUUGUUUGAGUGUGAGGCAGACAGAUGAUGGCUCCUCAUGAGACUCUGAUACGGAACAGGAAACUCUUGGUAGUGAAAAAAGACAAGUAUGUGAAAAGGUCUCUUCUCAACAACAUCCAGUUCCUACACGGGAAAUUCAAAGGAAGCAGCAAGAACAACAAUUGGGGUCAACAAAGGCAUUUGUGAAGAAAAGAGCGUUCUGUUCUCCUGGCUCAAUGUCAGCCUACCUCGAGUUUCGGAAACGACAAAAGGAUGAAGCGCUGAUGAUGAGCAGUGAGGUGCAUGAAAAAGGGCAAAAUUAUGAUGAUGAGCAGCUGAAUGAGACCGAUUGUGCUCUUCAGUUCGAUUGUGAGGGCAAUGAAGCAGCGGAACGAGCAUUUAUGGCACAGUUUGGAAUGGAAGGUAUAUUCUGAUCAUUAAUUAUGAGAGUUUUCAAAUUAAACGUUUGUUAAUUAAUUAGCUAUUGAACUUUCAUUUAUAAUUAGUUAGUAUUGACACUUCGUUUACUUUUGUAAUGCAACGAAUAUAUAUUAUAUGUACUUCGUUUAUUUUGUAAUGCAACGAAGAUAUAUUAUAUGUACUUU